rfam:Xenopus laevis strain J chromosome 4L, whole genome shotgun sequence.
AGAUCACCUUAAACUUGAGCCAAAAGAACUGAGCGGUUACUUGUAGCCCACUCUAUUAUUUUACUGUAAAUCUUCUACAUUCUGGAACUAAUUACACCAGGGAUAUGUCUCAAUUUGUUCUGCUUUAAUGCCGCAGUCAGAGUCACCAGCAGAGCUGAUUCUCAGCAUCAUGAAAUUGAUGAAGUGAGUCCUAAAUAACCAUAUGGAAUUCCAGGCUGAGGUUACCAGGAGAGCCCCUGACCCCACGCUCAACUUUCCUGAGAGG